AGGUGAACAAGCUGGAAAGCUUGGCGAUACAGGGUGAUAGCCCCGUAACUGACGACGCAUAUUCAGUGAAAUCGAGUAGGGCGGGACACGUGAUAUCCUGUCUGAAUAUGGGGGGACCAUCCUCCAAGGCUAAAUACUACUGACUGACCGAUAGUGAACCAGUACCGUGAGGGAAAGGCGAAAAGAACCCCUGUGAGGGGAGUGAAAUAGAACCUGAAACCGUGUACGUACAAGCAGUAGGAGCAGGCUUUGUCCUGUGACUGCGUACCUUUUGUAUAAUGGGUCAGCGACUUAUAUUCAGUGGCAAGGUUAACCAUCUAGGGGAGCCGUAGGGAAACCGAGUCUUAACUGGGCGUUCAGUCUCUGGAUAUAGACCCGAAACCAGGUGAUCUAGCCAUGGGCAGGUUGAAGGUUGAGUAACAUCAACUGGAGGACCGAACCGACUAAUGUUGAAAAAUUAGCGGAUGACUUGUGGCUAGGGGUGAAAGGCCAAUCAAACCUGGAGAUAGCUGGUUCUCCCCGAAAGCUAUUUAGGUAGCGCCUCGGACGAAUACUACUGGGGGUAGAGCACUGUUAAGGCUAGGGGGUCAUCCCGACUUACCAACCCUUUGCAAACUCCGAAUACCAGUAAGUACUAUCCGGGAGACACACGGCGGGUGCUAACGUCCGUCGUGGAGAGGGAAACAACCCAGACCGCCAGCUAAGGUCCCAAAUUACUACUAAGUGGGAAACGAUGUGGGAAGGCUCAGACAGCCAGGAUGUUGGCUUAGAAGCAGCCAUCAUUUAAAGAAAGCGUAAUAGCUCACUGGUCGAGUCGGCCUGCGCGGAAGAUGUAACGGGGCUAAGUAGUAAACCGAAGCUGCGGCAAUACUCUUUGAGUAUUGGGUAGGGGAGCGUUCUGUAAGCGGUUGAAGGUGUGUGGUAACGCAUGCUGGACGUAUCAGAAGUGCGAAUGCUGACAUGAGUAACGAUAAAGGGGGUGAAAAACCUCCUCGCCGGAAGACCAAGGGUUCCUGUCCAACGUUAAUCGGGGCAGGGUAAGUCGACCCCUAAGGCGAGGCCGAAAGGCGUAGUCGAUGGGAAACGGGUUAAUAUUCCCGUACUUCUUACAAUUGCGAUGGGGGGACGGAGAAGGCUAGGUGGGCCUGGCGACGGUUGUCCAGGUUCAAGUGCGUAGGCUGAAGAGUUAGGUAAAUCCGGCUCUUCU
rnacentral:rRNA from 1 species